GGGGGUCCAUGUAAUUUAUGAAGGAAGUCCUUUCAGGAAACAGAAGUGAGAGUCCCAACCUGACACAGAAUGGGAAAUAAUAAGCAAGGGAAAUCCCAUCCUCAACUGGAUUCCUCAAGAAACCCCAGGCACAGUUUCUUCUUAGAGUUUGUCCCAACUUAAGGGAGCUGGCUUUGAUGUUGCUUCAUAGUCCACUAUUGGCUAAUGGCUGUUUAUUAAGAAUGUUGGGGGUAAACUAGGUGACCAACCACCCUGGUUUGUCAGGGACUGUCCUGUGUUUAGUACUAAAAAUCUUUUAUCUUGGAAAAAUCCUUCAAUAUCAAGCAAACCAUGCUAGCUGAUCACCCUUAAAGACUAGAAACCUCCGGACACUUCUGACAUUUUGGACAGCAAAGUAGUUUUAAUAACUCCAGUUCAUCCUACUAAAGGGAAUCACAGGUAUAAAAAUCCCACUAAAGUGGGAGGAUGGGCUGUAGCCAUGCCUAGGAAUCCAAGUGCCUCUGAAUGGAAUGCAGCCAUGUUCCUUUAACAGGCACUUCUUGUGACCAGUUUUCUAAGAAGCACUAUAGUGCAAGUGGAGACUUGUAGAUGUGGAGUCGAAGACAGGAAUCUCAAGGGACGUGAACAUUUCAUCCUCCACAGGAAGUUCCUAGUUGUAGUGGGACUUAAGGAUAGUGACAUACAGGUUCAAGACUAGUCAAUUCUUCAAAACAGUUUUGUGAAGAGGACAUUAGCACCUGAAUGAACUUGAUUACCAAACCAAAAGUAAAAAAUUAACAAGAUGUGGUCUUGAACACAGUAACAAUGGCUUCCACAUGGGAAGGGUAAGAAGAAUUUGCCCUUUAUCAGUGAGUUUCCUUCAACCUAAC
rnacentral:lncRNA from 1 species